rnacentral:rRNA from 1 species
UACAGAGGGGGCAAGCGUUGUUCGGAAUUACUGGGCGUAAAGGGCGCGUAGGCGGCCUUCUAAGUCGAACGUGAAAUCCCUGGGCUCAACCCAGGAACUGCGUCCGAGACUGAAAGGCUUGAAUCCGGGAGAGGGAUGUGGAAUUCCAGGUGUAGCGGUGAAAUGCGUAGAUAUCUGGAGGAACAUCGGUGGCGAAGGCGGCAUCCUGGACCGGUAUUGACGCUGAGGCGCGAAAGCCAGGGGAGCAAACGGG